rnacentral:lncRNA from 1 species
GUUCCUAACUGGUCUGUCUACACCUUUAUGAGUAAUUAUCAUCACUUUUUUUCUAUUUUGCCUAUUAUUGUCAUUUUGUUUAGUUUCAUUUGUUAGCUAUUCUGACAUCGGACUCAGACUUCUUUUAAACUGAGUUUUACUGUGCGUUUUGUUGUGUGUUUGUUUUUCUACAUUUGUUAGAGCUAUACGGGGAGUGUUGAAAUCAUGUUUAAACCCGCCGCAUUUUUGCGCUUGUCCCACUUCAGGAGCCUCUGGCCUUUGGUAGUCUUGUAUGAUUUUCAAUUUAAGUUUCUUGUGUAUAUUUCGGAGUAACGAAUGACGUCCAUGUUCACUGAACUAGUAUACAUAUUUGUUUAGGAGCCAGCUGAAGCACGCCUCCGGGUGCGGGAAUUUGUCGCUGCAUUGAAGACCCUUUGGUGGCCUUCGGCUGUUGUCUGCUCUUUGGUCUGGUUGUUGUCUCCUUGACACAUUCCC